rnacentral:rRNA from 1 species
UACGUAGGGUGCGAGCGUUAAUCGGAAUUACUGGGCGUAAAGCGUGCGUAGGUGGUUUGUUAAGUCUGCUGUGAAAGCCCUGGGCUCAACCUGGGAAUGGCGGUGGAUACUGACAAGCUAGAGUACGGAAGAGGCGAGUGGAAUUCCCGGUGUAGCGGUGAAAUGCGCAGAUAUCGGGAGGAACACCUAUUGCGAAGGCAGCUCGCUGGGACGUUACUGACGCUGAGACGCGAAAGCGUGGGGAGCAAACAGG